rnacentral:rRNA from 1 species
UGCAAGUCGAGCGAGACCUUCGGGUCUAGCGGCGGACGGGUUAGUAACGCGUGGGAAUAUACCCUUCACUACGGAAUAGCCUCGGGAAACUGGGAGUAAUACCGUAUACGCCCUUUUGGGGAAAGAUUUAUCGGUGAAGGAUUAGCCCGCGUCUGAUUAGAUAGUUGGUGGGGUAAUGGCCUACCAAGUCUACGAUCAGUAGCUGGUUUGAGAGGAUGAUCAGCAACACUGGGACUGAGACACGGCCCAGACUCCUACGGGAGGCAGCAGUGGGGAAUCUUAGACAAUGGGCGCAAGCCUGAUCUAGCCAUGCCGCGUGAGUGACGAAGGCCUUAGGGUCGUAAAGCUCUUUCGCCAGAGAUGAUAAUGACAGUAUCUGGUAAAGAAACCCCGGCUAACUCCGUGCCAGCAGCCGCGGUAAUACGGAGGGGGUUAGCGUUGUUCGGAAUUACUGGGCGUAAAGCGCACGUAGGCGGAUUGGAAAGUAUGGGGUGAAAUCCCAGGGCUCAACCCUGGAACUGCCUUGUAAACUCCCAGUCUAGAGUUCGAGAGAGGUGAGUGGAAUUCCAAGUGUAGAGGUGAAAUUCGUAGAUAUUUGGAGGAACACCAGUGGCGAAGGCGGCUCACUGGCUCGAUACUGACGCUGAGGUGCGAAAGUGUGGGGAG